CACGCUCCCGGGUCACAGCGCCCCCUGGCGGCUCCAACGAGGCGAGCCGAGAGCGACACAGCCGAGCGAUCUGAAGGCAUGGAGGAUGAUCAUGUAUAAGGAGGAACAAGAGACCCAAUGCUAUCCAUAGCCAUUCAUGACACUGCCUUACACAGGUUAUACAGCUCUCUUCUCUUCCCAGCCACGAAGACGGUUUUACAGGCCAGGACUACAAGCCCACCGGCCCCCACUCUGUUCUCAGCUCUUCCACCGAGGCACCGGGAUGGGAUGCCCGAGAGACUGAGAACCAGAUGGCCCUGGCCUCCUUGCAGGCCCAGAGACUGCGCUUUACCACCUCGAAGCAGUGUCCUGUGGCCUCGCUACAAUCCAACACCAGCCCCAGGGACGGCGUGAGGUAUGUCAAAGUUGACAAGUAAAGCUGAUUAUGACUGAAACCAACACUCAAUCUACUUUGUCUAUCUGAGAUACACACAAAUUCUUGAAAGUGAAGGUAUUGAAGCUCCAUUCCCUCAGUUUCUGUCUCCCCAGGAUCCACUCUCUAUCUCCCUUCAAAAAGAGCAGGCCUCCAAGGGACAACAUCCAAACAGGAGAAAACAAAUUACAACGAGAGAAAGCAAAAGCCCUCGCAUCAGAACUGAACGAGGUAACCCAACAGGAGAAAAAGAAUCCCAAGAGCAGGUCGAAGAGUCAAAGAUACACCCACUGCAGCUGUUGGAAGCCCCACAAAAACAAGC
ensembl:lncRNA